CACCGUCAUAGCCAUGUGUGCACCGAACAGAAAGCACGUCCGCUGUUAGAGCCAUUUAAGAAUAUUCACAUAGCACCAUACGGUACAGGAUAUGAUUGAUAUGAUCACCUGUCCUUUCACCAUCUACUUUACUCCCUCUAUAAAUAGAGAUAAGCGGAGAUCCCUCUACGUAUGUGAGAUCUAGAUGUCGAAACUUUACUGCUCUUUCUUCUUUAUUGAGCUGCCUUGCUGACUUGAGCGUCGGAGGAUUCUCGUCGAAGUC
rnacentral:lncRNA from 1 species